AGUCUACUCACGUGAUGGACAUCUCGUCGGAAGUUAUGUGGUUAGAUUUUUGUUGUUGUUAUAAAACAAAUACAGACCUGCUAUGACACUAGUCUACUCCCCAGGGUCUUCUUGUCGCUGGUACAGAGAGUGUGCUACUCUGAGCAACAAUCAUUAGGGUCUCACCAAGCAAACUCCAGCUGAUGGCCAUCUACACCACCUUGUUGACUGGUGCUGGAUGAUGCAUUACCUUCUGAAAAUUAAGUGUCACUUAGGUCUUGCCAUGUUUAUCUUCAUAUCAUGACCUUAGAAAGAGGCAACAUAACAUGGAUCAUAAUACAAAUGUGUUAAAUCAAGACAAGAUGUCCUCACCUUAGACUUCAAAAAGAAUGACCUAAUACUCAUACAUUGUAUUUCUGCCUGCACUCGUUUUUCUAGAGACCUUCUCCAUGUUGGACUACCACCGUCUAGCCCUGGAGCAGCUGGAAGCCAACCAGACAGCCAUGGACAUUCUGGGAGCACCACCCCCCGAAGGUCCACAACAUCCACCUGUCUGACCGGCACAACUAUGUGGAACUUUACUGCUCUCUGGGGGUCAUUCCUCCUACAUGGGAGCCAACUAGCAGCAUAACUGUUUGCUAUCAAUAUUCUAGUGGCAAUAUUAUUCUAUAGAAAGACAGGAAAUUGAUUGAUACAUUGAAGGUCAGUGUGGACUUACAUUCUAAGUACAUGAAGGUCAUUUGACCUAAUGCAUACAGUACCUUUGUCUUCUCCCUGGCAGCGCUAGGCGGAAUUUAACAGGCAGUGCUGUAGAGGGUCAGCUUAGACCACACCACUGUCAGAUAAGACAGGACUUGACACAGCCAAACUGGUCUUCCUGAUCUGCUCACCAGAACUAGUGCGAUGAAGGUAUAACUGCUGCACUCGUCCGCCUCAUGUCAGUCGCAGACUUGUAGCCAUAGCACUUUGACAUGCAUUCUUUCAGGACACCAUUGGACCUUGUUUUGACAACGGCAAUACACAAGAUGCUUCCUGGUUUAAAAUCACCACAGAAAUAUUGCUUUGACCAAUGUUUAUUGAUGCUUUGUACAUCCUUAAGACAUUUACAUACAUUGUACAAGGAAAUAAGUGCCAUUUAUGCAUUACAAACAGUAUAAACAGUGCUGUCCUGAGCAAUAUGUACAUGCCUUAGGAGAAUGAAGGUACUGUAAAGAGCAAAUUAACAAUGUAAUUGCUUAGUACAAAGCCAUCAUAUCUUUAUAGCCGGCACUUGGAAAAACUAAUUUAGUCAUUGGUUCCAGUUGUACUAUACACAAUCUGUGCGACCAGAAAAUGUCUCCCAUAGUGUUCUAUUGCACUAUGAUGUAUGAUUGAUUAAUUAGGACAUUACUAUUUAUUCACAGUGAUAACAAAAUAUGUAAGACAUGGAAAUAAGUGAUAGAUUAAUUGAAGUUAUGAUGAACAAUUGUACUCAUGAAAGCUGAACGUACUGCAUGAAUAUUAGGAAAAGAAUGGUAAACGAGCAGAACAUGAACGACCGAAUGUGGAAGAAUGGCAAACAAAACGUCAGUAGUUCAUUAAAAUUGUUUUAAAAUUAAUAAAAAUGUGAUGCAGACAUA